GCAGUCGAGCGGUAGAGAGGUGCUUGCACCUCUUGAGAGCGGCGGACGGGUGAGUAAAGCCUAGGAAUCUGCCUGGUAGUGGGGGAUAACGCUCGGAAACGGACGCUAAUACCGCAUACGUCCUACGGGAGAAAGCAGGGGACCUUCGGGCCUUGCGCUAUCAGAUGAGCCUAGGUCGGAUUAGCUAGUUGGUGAGGUAAUGGCUCACCAAGGCGACGAUCCGUAACUGGUCUGAGAGGAUGAUCAGUCACACUGGAACUGAGACACGGUCCAGACUCCUACGGGAGGCAGCAGUGGGGAAUAUUGGACAAUGGGCGAAAGCCUGAUCCAGCCAUGCCGCGUGUGUGAAGAAGGUCUUCGGAUUGUAAAGCACUUUAAGUUGGGAGGAAGGGCAUUAACCUAAUACGUUAGUGUUUUGACGUUACCGACAGAAUAAGCACCGGCUAACUCUGUGCCAGCAGCCGCGGUAAUACAGAGGGUGCAAGCGUUAAUCGGAAUUACUGGGCGUAAAGCGCGCGUAGGUGGUUCGUUAAGUUGGAUGUGAAAUCCCCGGGCUCAACCUGGGAACUGCAUUCAAAACUGUCGAGCUAGAGUAUGGUAGAGGGUGGUGGAAUUUCCUGUGUAGCGGUGAAAUGCGU
rnacentral:rRNA from 1 species